GCUAUGAUGACAGCGUGGUGUUGAUCGUUGAUGAUGUUGCCAGAAUUUGUCCUCUAAGAAGUUCUGAGCUC
ensembl:snoRNA small nucleolar RNA SNORD61